rnacentral:snRNA from 1 species
GUCCCCUCGGGGACAUCCGAUAAAAUUGAAACAAUACAGAGAAGAUUAGCAUGAUCCCUGCGGAAGGAUGAUACGAACAAAUUGAGAAAUGAUCCAAAUUUUU